rnacentral:siRNA from 1 species
CCACCGAAUAGUUGAUUGUUGCA